UUGGCGGACGGGUGAGUAACGCGUGGGUAACCUGCCUUGUACUGGGGGACAACAGUUGGAAACGACUGCUAAUACCGCAUAAGCGCACAGCUUCGCAUGAAGCAGUGUGAAAAACUCCGGUGGUACAAGAUGGACCCGCGUCUGAUUAGCUGGUUGGUGAGGUAACGGCCCACCAAGGCAACGAUUAGUAGCCGGCCUGAGAGGGUGAACGGCCACAUUGGGACUGAGACACGGCCCAA
rnacentral:rRNA from 1 species